rnacentral:rRNA from 1 species
CGAGCGGCGGACGGGUGAGUAAUGUAUGGGGAUCUGCCUGAUGGCGGGGGAUAACUACUGGAAACGGUAGCUAAUACCGCAUAACGUCGCAAGACCAAAGCGGGGGACCUCCGGGCCUCGCGCCAUCAGAUGAACCCAUAUGGGAUUAGCUAGUAGGUGAGGUAACGGCUUACCUAGGCGACGAUCCCUAGCUGGUCUGAGAGGGUGACCGGCCACAUUGGGACUGAGACACGGCCCAA